rnacentral:rRNA from 1 species
ACGGUAUCUGACCAGGAAGCCCCGGCUAACUACGUGCCAGCAGCCGCGGUAAUACGUAGGUGGCAAGCGUUAUCCGGAUUUAUUGGGUGUAAAGGGAGCGCAGGCGGUAUUUCAAGUCUGAAGUGAAAUCCCUGGGCUUGACCCGAGUAGUGCUUUGGAAACUGGGCGACUAGAGUGCAGAAGAGGUGAGUGGAAUUUCUUGUGUAGCGGUGAAAUGCGUAGAUAUUAGGAAGAACACCAGUGGCGAAAGCGGCUCUCUGGUCUGUAACUGACGCUGAGGUUCGAAAGCGUGGGGAGCAAACAGGAUUAGAUACCCUGGUAGUCCACGCCGUAAACGAUGAAUACAUAAGUGUUGGAGGGCCUCCGCCCUUCAGUGCCGUCGCAAACGCAAUAAGUAAUCCACGUGGGGAGUACGUUCGCAAGAAUGAAACUCAAAGGAAUUGACGGGGAGCCGCACAAGCGGUGGAGCAUGUGGUUUAAUUUGAAGCAACGCGAAGAACCUUACCUGGUCUUGACAUCUCAGUGACGCAUGAGCAAAAUCAUGUUUCCUUGGGACACUGGAGACAGGUGGUGCAUGGUUGUCGUCAGCUGGUGUCGUGAGAUGUUGGGUUAAGUCCUGCAACGAGCGCAACCCCUAUAUUCAGUAGCCAGCAGGUAGAGCUGGGAACUCUGGAGAGACUGCCUGGGAGAACCAGGAGGAAGGCGGGGAUGACGUCAAAUCAUCAUGCCCCUUAUGAUCAGGGCUACACACGUGCUACAAUGGCGUAAACAGAGGGAAGCGAAAUGGUAACAUGAAGCAAAUCUGAGAAAUAACGUCUCAGUUCGGAUUGUAGUCUGCAACUCGCCUACAUGAAGUUGGAAUCGCUAGUAAUCGCGAAUCAGAAUGUCGCGGUGAAUACGUUCCCGGGUCUUGUACACACCGCCCGUCACACCAUGGGAGUCAGAAACGCCCGAAGUCAGUGACCCAACCGAGAGGAGGGAGCUGCCGAAGGUGGAGCUGGUAACUGGGGUGAAG